rnacentral:rRNA from 1 species
CGCGUGUACUGGUCCGGCCGGGCCUUUCCCUCUGUGGAACCCCAUGCCCUUCACUGGGUGUGGCGGGGAAACAGGACUUUUACUUUGAAAAAAUUAGAGUGCUCCAGGCAGGCCUAUGCUCGAAUACAUUAGCAUGGAAUAAUAGAAUAGGACGUGUGGUUCUAUUUUGUUGGUUUCUAGGACCGCCGUAAUGAUUAAUAGGGACAGUCGGGGGCAUUAGUAUUCAAUUGUCAGAGGUGAAAUUCUUGGAUUUAUUGAAGACUAACUACUGCGAAAGCAUUUGCCAAGGAUGUUUUCAUUAAUCAGGAACGAAAGUUAGGGGAUCGAAGACGAUCAGAUACCGUCGUAGUCUUAACCAUAAACUAUGCCGACUAGGGAUCGGACGAUGUUAUUUUUUGACUCGUUCGGCACCUUACGAGAAAUCAAAGUGCUUGGGCUCCAGGGGGAGUAUGGUCGCAAGGCUGAAACUUAAAGGAAUUGACGGAAGGGCACCACCAGGAGUGGAGCCUGCGGCUUAAUUUGACUCAACACGGGGAAACUCACCAGGUCCAGACAUAACUAGGAUUGACAGAUUGAUAGCUCUUUCUUGAUUUUAUGGGUGGUGGUGCAUGGCCGUUCUUAGUUGGUGGAGUGAUUUGUCUGGUUAAUUCCGAUAACGAACGAGACCUUACCCUGCUAAAUAGUCAGCCCGGCUUUUGCUGGUCGCAGACUUCUUAGAGGGACGAUCGG